UAUAAACAACUCUACAGUGCCCGGUGUCAAGCAGCAGAGGUGUAAUCUACAACUUAAAAUUAUUUUUUAAAAAGACGCCCCUGUGUAAGCUACACUGAUAAUUAAAGAAGAGGAGGGAGAAAAGGAAAUAAUGAUUGGAGGAGUCUGGUUGAUGUACUUAUUGGGGGCAGCAGUGAGGCUGUGGCUGAUGAACACCACUGGUGCUGAUUAUAUUGCCAAGCGAGUAGAGCUGUCAACACCACUCAAUUCCUGGAAGAGAGUGGAGGAGGGCGUAUUCUUACAUUCCCAAGGAAUCCCUGUGUACAAUGGAGGUGUCUUCCAUGAAACACCCUUGUGUCUCUUCUUCAGCAGUUUUCUUAUAAGGUAAUG